UACGUAGGGGGCAAGCGUUAUCCGGAUUUACUGGGUGUAAAGGGAGCGUAGACGGCACGGCAAGCCAGAUGUGAAAGCCCGGGGCUCAACUCCGGGACUGCAUUUGGAACUGCUGAGCUAGAGUGUCGGAGAGGCAAGUGGAAUUCCUAGUGUAGCGGUGAAAUGCGUAGAUAUUAGGAGGAACACCAGUGGCGAAGGCGGCUUGCUGGACGAUGACUGACGUUGAGGCUCGAAAGCGUGGGGAGCAAACAGG
rnacentral:rRNA from 1 species